rnacentral:rRNA from 1 species
UACGUAGGCAGCGAGCGUUGUUCGAAGUUACUAGGCGUAAAGGGUGUGUAGGCGGUUGUUUAAGUUUGGUGUGAAAUCUCCCGGCUCAACUGGGAGGGUGCGCCGAAUACUGAAUGACUUCGAGUACGGGAAAAUGAGUGGAAUUCCUAAUGUAGCGAUGAAAUGCGUAGAUAUCGGGAGGAACACCUGUGGCGAAAGCGGCGCACUGGACCACAACUGACGCUGAGGCGCGAAAGCUAGGGGAGCAAACAGG